CCAGGAACAGCCAAUGUGGAGCUGCAGUGGGAAUGCUCUGCUGUCAUAGAGGAUUCCCUUCCUCAGAUAAAGGAAACGGGAGAGCUAUCGUCAGCCACAGCCGGUGUAUGGGAUAUUUGACGGCAAACUUCCACAGUACAUAGCAGAAAUACAGCUCAACAGUGUAUUAAUAAAUAUGUACUUACUCAUA